GUUAGGUGGUCCUCAUAAUGUCCAUCCUAGAUGUUGGUGUUGGGUAUAUUGUAUGGUGAGGAUUUCUUAUGAUUCUUAGGUUUUCUUAUUUCCUUUCUUCGAUUGAUUCUAAGCUAGGCACAAAAAGUAAGGACAUUUUUGUUUGGUAAAUUAUUUCAUUUUAACAACGCUUUUUGGCAAUAAUGUUGUGUUGUUGAAUCCUCCGACGCGAGCCUUCCGAGUUGCACUUUUGACAUUAUUUCCGGUCUCGGAGCAUUUAUAGCGUUCCCGUUAGUCUUUGUGAUUGUGACAUGAAAUUGGCUAGUCGUUGUUUAUUGUUAGCUACAUUAGCCUCUUUAGCAAACCAGCCCGAAACAAGGUCACAUAUCAAGGUGGACACGCCCACCUGUGAUGUCAUAAGGGACAGAUUUCCAAAACGGCUUGUAACGGCUAAUCAACCCACACCUGUGCAUGUCAUGGGACCUAUAAAGGAUUAGUGGUGCAAGACAGUGGAGAAGUCGGUGGCCGAACCAGAAGAACAAAGGCGUCUGUGAACUACAAGGAGCCCAGCAUAACAUGCAAAUUGAGGCGCGGAGACCGUCACACGGACACCGGUCUCCUGAUUGCUCCUAUUUAUAAGGAAAAAAAGAAGAAGAAACGGACCAAGAUGGCGAACAAGCAAAGACCAGAAAGCAGUCUUAGUUUAGGUUUUUUAGUAGAUGAAAGUGAAAACCCUGUUUGAUUUUCUGUGUAGUUCUUAUCUAAGUUGAGCGUUGACUGCAUUUCUCUGAAAAUAAUAGAUAAUCAACAAAUAAUACGAUGAAUGGAUAUUGUUCUUGCAAUUAAAGGCCCACUAUGCAACUUCGGGCAUUUCUUGGCUGUUUUCUUGGUUUUGGCACGCACAUUUCUCUACACAGCGCCCCCUACAGCUUCGUAGUAGAUAUUUCACAACACUGUCGUAACAACUC
ensembl:lncRNA